UACAGAGACUGCGAGCGUUAUUCGGAUUCACUGGGCGUAAAGGGUGCGCAGGCGGCCAAAUGUGUGAGGCGUGAAAGCCUAGGGCUUAACCCUGGAAUUGCACCUCAAACUAUUUGGCUAGAGCAUUGGAGAGGGAAGCGGAAUUCACGGUGUAGCAGUGAAAUGCGUAGAUAUCGUGAGGAACACCAGAGGCGAAGGCGGCUUCCUGGACAAUUGCUGACGCUCAGGCACGAAAGCGUGGGGAGCAAAAGGG
rnacentral:rRNA from 1 species